UACGUAGGGUGCAGGCGUUAAUCGGAAUUACUGGGCGUAAAGCGUGCGCAGGCGGUCUUUUAAGUCGGAUGUGAAAUCCCCGGGCUUAACUCGGAACGGUCAAGUGAUACUGUCGGACUAGAGUACAGAAGGGGCAACUGGAAUUCUCGGUGUAGCGGUGAAAUGCGUAGAUAUCGAGAGGAACACCUGCGGCGAAGGCGGGUUGCUGGGCUGAUACUGACGCUGAGGCGCGAAAGCCAGGGGAGCGAACGGG
rnacentral:rRNA from 1 species